rnacentral:rRNA from 1 species
AAUGAACGUUGGCGGCGUGGAUUAGGCAUGCAAGUCGUGCGAGAAGCUUCCUUCGGGAAGUGGACAGCGGCGCAAGGGAGAGUAACGCGUGGAUAACCUACCUCGGGGUCCGGGAUAGCCGUGGGAAACUGCGGGUAAUACCGGAUGAUGUCUUCGGAUCAAAGGUGUGAUUCCGCCCCGAGACGGGUCCGCGUCCUAUUAGCUUGUUGGUGGGGUAACGGCCUACCAAGGCUACGAUGGGUACCGGGUGUGAGAGCAUGGCCCGGCUCACUGGGACUGAGACACUGCCCAGACACCUACGGGUGGCUGCAGUCGAGAAUCUUCGGCAAUGGACGAAAGUCUGACCGAGCGACGCCGCGUGCGGGAUGAAGGCCCUCGGGUUGUAAACCGCUGUCAGAGGGGAUGAAAUGCCAUGGGGCUAUCCUCAUGGUUUGACAUAUCCUCAGAGGAAGUACGGGCUAAGUUCGUG